UCCAGCGGCAGUCAGCUGAGCAGGCCUGACACGUGUCUGCACUAGUGUUACUCUGCUGGAAGAGUAAGGCACCGUUUUGCUCCAUCAGGUUUGGCUGUUUUAGUCAUUCCUGAUGCUAGCAUUGGUGAUGCCAUGCUUUCUGAGAGUGGAUUGUGCUCACAAAAUGGGGCAGUCCUAGUCUGGAGGCAAACAGU